AGGGCAUACGGUGGAUGCCUUGGUGCCAGGAGGCGAUGAAGGGCGUGGCCAACUGCGAUAAGCUUCGGGUAGCUGUAAGCAAGCUUUGAUCCGGAGAUUCCCGAAUGGGGCAACCCACUGGAGUAAACCUCCAGUAUCCCGUAAGGGAGGCUAACCGGGGGAACUGAACCAUCUAAGUACCCCGAGGAAAAGAAAGAAAUUCGAUUCCCUAAGUAGCGGCGAGCGAAAGGGGAACAGCCUAAACCCAAAGAGUGUAAUAACCCCUGGGUGUUGCUCUUUGGGGGUAGAGGGAAGAGAGAGGUUCUACCAGGGUGGAACCAGAGAGUUACCAAACCAGGUUUUAGCUGAACAGGUCUGGAAAGCCUGGCCAGAGAAGGUGAUAGCCCAGUAAGCGAAAAGAUCUGGUCUCUCCUCUCUUUCCCGAGUACCACGGUCCACGAGGAAUUCCGUGGGAAUCUGGGAGGACCAUCUCCUAAGGCUAAAUACUACCUGGCAACCGAUAGUGAACUAGUACCGUGAGGGAAAGGUGAAAAGAACCCCGGGAGGGGAGUGAAAUAAAGGUGAAAAGAACCCCGGGAGGGGAGUGAAAUAGAACCUGAAACCGUAUGUCUACAAUACGUGGAAGAGCUAUGGAGAAGACCUAGUCUCCUCCAGCUCGACUGCGUGCCUUUUGGAGAAUGAGCCGGCGAGUUACGGUGGCUGGCAAGGUUAAGUGCUUAAGGCAUGGAGCCGUAGGGAAACCGAGUCUGAAUAGGGCGCAUAGUCAGUCAUCGUAGACCCGAAACCAGGUGAUCUACCCAUGGCCAGGGUGAAGUGGGGAUAAAACCCCAUGGAGGCCCGAACCGGUGUAGGUUGAAAACUGCUCGGAUGAGCUGUGGGUAGGGGUGAAAGGCCAAUCAAACCUGGAGAUAGCUGGUUCUCCCCGAAAUAGCUUUAGGGCUAGCCUCCGGUAGGAGGAGAGGGGGUAGAGCACUGAAUGGGCUAGGGGGCUAACCCGCCUACCAAACCCAACCAAACUCCGAAUACCUCUCCUUAAUGCCGGGGAGUCAGACUGCGAAGGAUAAGCUCCGUGGUCGAAAGGGAAACAGCCCAGACCGUCAGCUAAGGCCCCCAAACGUGGACUAAGUGGUAAAGGUAGUGACCUUGCUGAGACAGCCAGGAGGUUGGCUUAGAAGCAGCCAUCCUUUAAAAAGUGCGUAAUAGCUUACUGGUCUAGCGAUGUUGCGCCGAAAAAUUUUCGGGGCUCAAGUCCACUGCCGAAGCUACGGAUUCCAGAAUUUAGUUUCUAUCUUCUGGGAUGGUAGGGGAGCGUUGGGUAAGCCAGAGAAGCGGGACCGGAAGGACCCGUGGAGGUAUCCCAAGUGAGAAUGCCGGCAUGAGUAGCGAUAAAGAGGGUGAGAAUCCCUCUCGCCGUAAGCCUAAGGUUUCCUGAGGAAGGUUCGUCCUCUCAGGGUUAGUCGGAUCCUAAGCCGAGGCGGAAACGCGUAGGCGAUGGGUAACUGGUUGAUAUUCCAGUACUACCAGUUUUCUGUUAUUCCGAUGGGGUGACGCAGGAGGGUAGGCCAUCCGCCUGGAGGAAUAGGCGGUCUAAGCCAGUAGGCGGAGAAAAGGUAAUCCCUUUUCUCGAUAACGCUGAGAGGUGAUGGGGAGUCCCUACGGGGGCGAACUGGUUGAUCCCCCACUGACUAGAAAAGCCUCUAAGGAGGAAGAUUGGUAUCCGUACCGCAAACCGACACAGGUAGGCAGGAUGAGUAUUCUAAGGCGCGCGAGUGAUCCCCCGUUAAGGAACUCGGCAAGUUAACCCUGUAACUUCGGAAGAAGGGGUGCCUCUCUCGGUGAAUAGAUUUACACUAGGAGCGGAGAGAGGUCGCAGAAAAAUGGCUCUGGCGACUGUUUAUUAAAAACACAGGACUCUGCUAAGCCGUAAGGCGAUGUAUAGGGUCUGACGCCUGCCCAGUGCUGGAAGGUUAAGGGGAGGGGUUAGCGAAAGCGAAGCUCCAAACUGAAGCCCCAGUAAACGGCGGCCGUAACUAUAACGGUCCUAAGGUAGCGAAAUUCCUUGUCGGGUAAGUUCCGACCCGCAUCCUAAGGUAGCGAAAUUCCUUGUCGGGUAAGUUCCGACCCGCAUGAACGGCGUAACGACCGGAGCGCUGUCUCAACGGGGAGCUCGGCGAAGUUUCAAUACAAGUGCAGAUGCUUGUUACCCGCGACUAGACGGAGAGACCCCGUGAACCUUUACUGUAGCCUGAUAUUGGAUCCGGGUACAUCUUGUGUAGGAUAGGUGGGAGGCAGAGAAGUCACCGCGCCAGCGGUGAUGGAGCCGACCUUGAAAUACCACCCUUGAUGUAUUCAGAUUCUAACCUGCAGAAGUUAUCCUUCUGAGGGACAGUGUCAGGGGGGCAGUUUGACUGGGGCGGUCGCCUCCUAAAGAGUAACGGAGGCGCCCUAAGGUUCCCUCAGCACGUUUGGAAAUCGUGUGUGGAGUGUAAAGGCAUAAGGGAGCUUGACUGCGAGAGGGACACCUCAAGCAGAGACGAAAGUCGGGCUUAGUGAUCCGGUGGUGCAGUAUGGAAUGGCCAUCGCUCAACGGAUAAAAGGUACUCCGGGGAUAACAGGCUGGUCUCUCCCAAGAGUCCACAUCGACGGAGAGGCUCGGCACCUCGAUGUCGGCUCGUCGCAUCCUGGGGCUGAAGCAGGUCCCAAGGGUUGGGCUGUUCGCCCAUUAAAGCGGUACGUGAGCUGGGUUUAGAACGUCGUGAGACAGUUCGGUCCCNNNNNNNNNNNNNNNNNNNNNNNNUCGCCCAUUAAAGCGGUACGUGAGCUGGGUUUAGAACGUCGUGAGACAGUUCGGUCCCUAUCUGUCGUGGGCGUAGGAUACUUGAGGGGAGCUGUCCCUAGUACGAGAGGACCGGGAUGGACGAACCUCCGGUGUACCAGUUGUCCCGCCAGGGGCAUAGCUGGGUAGCUGUGUUCGGAGAGGAUAAGCGCUGAAAGCAUCUAAGUGCGAAGCCCACCCCAAGAUUAGGUAUCCCACUCGAAAGAGGUAAGACUCCGGGAAGAUUACCCGGUUGA
rnacentral:rRNA from 1 species